rnacentral:rRNA from 1 species
AGCAGCCGCGGUAAUUCCAGCUCCAAUAGCGUAUAUUAAAGUUGCUGCAGUUAAAAAGCUCGUAGUUGAAUUUCGGGACUAAUAUGUCGGUCGUGCCUCGGUACGUACUGGUUUAUUGGUUUCUCCUUUCUGAAGAACCAUGAUGUCAUUUAUUUGGUGUCGUGGGGAAUCAGGACUGUUACUUUGAAAAAAUUUAGAGUGUUUAAAGCAGGCUAACGCUUGAAUACAUUAGCAUGGAAUAAUGAAAUAGGACGUUCGACCCUAUUUUGUCGGUUUCUAGGAUCGACGUAAUGAUUAAUAGGGAUAGUUGGGGCGAUUAGUAUUCAAUUGUCAGAGGUGAAAUUCUUGGAUUUAUUGAAGACUAACUACUGCGAAAGCAUUUGCCAAGGAUGUUUUCAUUAAUCAAGAACGAAAGUUAGGGGAGUCGAAGAACGAUGCAGAUACCGUCGUAGUCUUAACCAUAAACUAUGCCGACUAGGGAUCGGAUGAUGUUAAUUUUUUAAUGACUCAUUCGGCGCCU